rnacentral:sRNA from 1 species
CUAAUCAGGCCCAUCCCUGCUUAGCUUCCAAGAUCAGAGGAGAUGGGCGCAUGCAGGGUGACAUGGCCGUAGAC